UUUUUUUUUUGGUGCUGGGGACUGAACCCAGGGAUUCACACAAUGUUAGGCAAGUGCUCUACCACUGAGUUACAUCCCCAGCCUUUUUUUAUUUUUGAGACAAAGUCUCUCCAAAUUGCCCAGGCUGGCCUCAAGAUCCUCCUGCCUCAGUCUCCUGACAAGUAGCUGGCAUGCACCACUGAACCCAGAUAAAAUUUUUAAUUAAAAAAAAUUCAGGAGUGAGUUAGAUCUGCCAAGUUCUGAAUAUUCACUUCUGGAAGGGCUAAGCCUUUUUUUUCCACCUAAUUUCUUGAUACUCAACUCCUCCAGCUUUUGCACAUUUAGGCGAGAAAUAGGACAGCAGCACUAUGUGAACUCUAGCUCUGCCUUAAGACAGCGCAGGUGCCGGGCACGGUGGUGCAUGCCUGUAAUCCCAGUGGCUUGGGAGUCCUAGGCAAGAGGAUCGUGAGUUCAAAGCCAGCCUCAGCAACUCAGCAAGGUACUAAGCAACUCAGUGACCCUGUCUUUAGAUAAAAGAUUUAAAAGGGCUGGGGAUGUGGCUCAGUAGUUAAGUGUCCCUAGCUAGGUUCAAUCCCCAGUAUCAAAAAAAGAAAAAAUGCAAUAUGGGUUUCUGGGGACUCUACUCCAGGGAUAGUCACUUCACCUAGCUGAUCCACUCUGGGCUGGGCUGAGUUUUGAAACAGUGACCCCAGCAGCCCACAGGUGCAUGUAAUUUCUUAUGCAUGGAGAAAGUUUGGAGUUCUCUAUAGAGAGAAAAAAGAAAUAAGAAUGGAUUUCUCAGGCCUAACCUAUUCCUUCCUCCUCUCUAAUCCAUUUGCCCAGGAUGGGGAGUGAGAGGGGGAGGAAAAAAGAGGAGCGGGGGCACCAAGAAGGAGAGAAAUGGAAUUAACAAAGAAGCACCUGAGAGGUCAACCCUUUGCCUUUCUCCUCCUAGGCUGGAGAAGAUUCUUCCUUGGUACUCUCCAGAAAUCCUCUCAAAGCAAGAGCACGAAGGCUACCCAGCCCCUUCUGCCCCCCACCAUAGGGCCUGUGUUUGUGAGUGAAGAGUUAGCAUGUUCUCCUGUCAGUCUGGUAGAGAAAGAAGCAAUUAGCAGGGCCUGCUGACCCUGAGAAUUUUGUUUUCAAGUUCAGCAUGUAGGGAUUUGUUCAGACGGACUCUUGGCAAACAUCAAAUCCCAGGCAUCAAAGAAAUUUGCUCAACAAAUUCCUAGGAAACCUCCUGGGCAGGUGGUCCUGAACACUUUUCUAUUAGCAGAACCACCCAAAGGGGACCAAACUCCAGAGGUAGAUCCAUCCGGGAAGGAAAAGCAAUAGUUCUACUGUUCCUUCAUUCAGGGCAAAAUUGCCUAGCAUGAGACAUUUGUUCUCAGUGUCUUCUCUCCUCCACUUUGAACUUCCCUAUAAGUUUACUAAACUGAGCUAAACUCAGCUCACCAGGAGGGAGAAGGCCCACUCUGGCUAAGCAAUUCCUCAGUCCCUCCCCUGAGGAGCAUGUGGUCCCAUCUCACUCUGGUCACCAGCACACAGAUCACACCUCCAACCCCCACUGGAAUACAGUGCCCAAGAGCCUUGGAUUGUUUUUAUGUGUGAGCCUGAUCUAGCUUUUAAACUGGGGUUGGAGGAGGGAUAUACUUUUUGUGCUCUUUAAUUCUAGUUCACAAUAAAUUAUGCCUAUUUUAAUUAAUCAUUUAAUAAAUGAACAAAUGAAUGAAUGAGCCUUCAGGAUAUUUAACAAUACCUUUUUAUUAAAACAAUUUGGAGUAUAUGUAAUGGGAGAGGAAGAGAGAAGGGCCAAAAAACCAUAAGUGUCUGGUUGAUUCUCCCCUGCAUCUUCCUGGACAUGUCUCGGAUGCAAGGUCCUGGAGGAAGGCCCUUCUCCAGGGACAGGCUGCAAAGGCCCCAGGAGAAGGGAAAAGUGGGAGGUAUGAUCAUUGGAACUCUAAGGAGAAGCUUCUAAAUCCUGGGUGAGACCUUGUGAUGCUCUUGGGUACCAGUAUUUAUGUUAGUUGGGACUAGUGGGACUUGCCUUUGGAUAGGAUGAUGGCACUACCAACAUGGAAGUUUCCUGGGCAGGAUAAUUGUUGAGAAAACUCACAGUUAUGGCACACUGAGAGGCCUUGGUCGCUACCAACAUAGUGUCUGGAGGUUUCCCUCCAGUAUACCAGGUCAUGUAAGUCACUUUUGACAAAUUCAGGCUAAUAGUCAUCACUGCUAUAUCAUCUAUGUAUAUGUAUGUGUCCUGGAUUUGGGGGAUAAUUCCCAUUUCAAACCUUUGUCCUAUUACCAAUUAUUGUCCUAUUUUGAUUUUUUUUAAUUUAUUUUUUGUCCCCCUGCUCCCCACCCCCCAGCCCCAAGGCACUUUGCCACUGAGCUACUUCCACAGUCCUUUUUAUUUAUUUUCAGACAGGAUCUUGCUAAGUUGCUGAGGUUUACUUUAAACUUGAGAUCCUCUUGCUUCAGCCUCCUGAGUUGCUGGGAUUAUAGGUUUUUGUUCCACCACUCCAGGUCCUGGUGUCUUUAGUUUUGAAAACUCUCCUUAUAAUGUCUUGUGGUUCUCUAUAAAGGAGGGGGGAUCAAGG
rnacentral:lncRNA from 1 species